rnacentral:rRNA from 1 species
AACGAACGCUGGCGGCAGGCUUAACACAUGCAAGUCGAACGCCCCGCAAGGGGAGUGGCAGACGGGUGAGUAACGUGUGGGAAUCUACCCAGAUCUUCGGAACAACUGAGGGAAACUUCAGCUAAUACCGGAUACGCCCUACGGGGGAAAGAUUUAUCGGUUCUGGAUGAGCCCGCGUUGGAUUAGCUAGUUGGUGGGGUAAUGGCCUACCAAGGCGACGAUCCAUAGCUGGUCUGAGAGGAUGAUCAGCCACACUGGGACUGAGACACGGCCCAGACUCCUACGGGAGGCAGCAGUGGGGAAUAUUGGACAAUGGGCGAAAGCCUGAUCCAGCCAUGCCGCGUGAGUGAUGAAGGCCUUAGGGUUGUAAAGCUCUUUCAGUGGGGAAGAUAAUGACGGUACCCACAGAAGAAGCCCCGGCUAACUUCGUGCCAGCCGCCGCAGUAAUAC